rnacentral:rRNA from 1 species
GAUGAACGCUGGCGGCGUGCCUAAUACAUGCAAGUCGAGCGAACAGACGAGGAGCUUGCUCCUCUGACGUUAGCGGCGGACGGGUGAGUAACACGUGGAUAACCUACCUAUAAGACUGGGAUAACUUCGGGAAACCGGAGCUAAUACCGGAUAAUAUAUUGAACCGCAUGGUUCAAUAGUGAAAGACGGUUUUGCUGUCACUUAUAGAUGGAUCCGCGCCGCAUUAGCUAGUUGGUAAGGUAACGGCUUACCAAGGCAACGAUGCGUAGCCGACCUGAGAGGGUGAUAGGCAAAACUGGAACUGAGACACGGUCCAGACUCCUACGGGAGGCAGAAGUAGGGAAUCUUCAGCAAUGGGAGAAAGCCUGACGGAGCAACGCCGCGUGAGUGAUGAAGGUCUUAGGAUCGUAAAACUCUGUUAUUAGGGAAGAACAAAUGUGUAAGUAACUAUGCACGUCUUGACGGUACCUAAUCAGAAAGCCACGGCUAACUACGUG